ACGUGCGUCAGGCCCCGACUUUUCGGAAGGGGCGUGCUUAUUAGAUUUAAACCCAUGCCCGCAAGGGUCUGUUGGUGAUUCAUAGUAAUCAUUCGGACGUCGAGUUUUCGACGCGAUUCAUUCAAAUUUCUGCCCUAUCAGCUUUUGAUGGUAGUGUAGUGGACUACCAUGGCGUUCACGGGUAACGGGGAAUUAGGGUUCGAUUCCGGAGAAGGAGCCUGAGAAACGGCUACUACAUCCAAGGAAGGCAGCAGGCGCGCAAAUUACCCACUCCUGACCCAGGGAGGUAGUGACAAGAAAUCCUGAUGCUGAGCGCUUUCAUGUGCUUAGUAAUCGGAAUGAGAGGUAGUUAAAUCUCGCUAUCGAAUGCUAAAAGAGGACAAGUCUGGUGCCAGCACCCGCGGUAAUUCCAGCUCUUUUAGCGUACAUUAUCAUUGUUGCAGUUAAAAAGCUCGUAGUUGGAUUUUUGUUUCUAGUUGCUCGGUUCUCCGCGGCGGCAUUUGUCGUCGUGUGAGAGCUGGCCGGAGACAUUUCUCGUCGUUCGUCGUGGCAACACGGCGGAAGGCGAAAUUACUUUGAGAAAAAUAGAGUGUUCCAAGCAGGCGUCACGCCACGAAUACUUCAGCAUGGAAUAAAACCAAUGGGCUUUCGUCCUUUUGGUGGGUUCUGGACCAAGUCAUGAUUGAUAGGGACGGUUGGGGGUGCUCGUAUUCCGGGGCCAGAGGUGAAAUUCUUGGAUUCUCGGAAGACGAACAACUGCGAAAGCAUUCACCAAGGACGUUUUCUUUAAUCAAGAACGAAAGUUGGGGGAUCGAAGACGAUCAGAUACCGUCGUAGUCUCAACCAUAAACGAUGCCAACUGAGAAUUCUUUCCAGUCUCUCGUGGGACACGUGCCGCAAGGUAACGGCCCACGAAUCGACGGAAGGGGCGCUCUGUGAGAAAUCAAAGUUUUCGGGUUCCGGGGAGAGUAUUGUCGCAAGGCACAAAUUUAAAGGAAUUGAUGGGAGUUUAUCAUCGGGAAUGGAUUGUGCGGCUCAAAUUGACUCAACACGGGAAAACUUACCAGGUCCGUACAGAGUGAGGAGAAACAGACUGAAGUUCUUUUUUGAUUCUUUGGGUGGUGGUGCAUGGCCGUUCUUAGUUGGUGGUGUGGACUGUCUGGUUAAUUCCGUUAACGAACGAGACUUCUACCCUGAAUUUACGUUAUAACUAGUUUUCAAUGUCUGUCAAAGGACAUUUUUUCAUACGAUAAACUUCUUAGGGGGACUAUGUGCAAUAAGCUCAUGGAGGCGGGAAGCGAUAGCAGGUCACUGAUGCCCUUAGAGAACCUGGGCCGCACGCGCAAUACACUGGACGGAUCAGCGUGUUCAUAGUUUCUCGUUGUGGGGCAACUUGCAGCGAGAAAACCUUGUUCGAGAGGACCGGGAAAUCAUUUAAAUCCGUCCGUGCUGGGGAUUGAGCAUUGCAAUUAUUGCUCAUGAACGAGGAAUUCCUUGUAGACGUACGUCAUCAGCGUACAUCGAAUACAUCCCUUGACUUUAUACACACCGCCCGUCGCUGUUACCGAUUGAAUGUUUUAGUGAGCUGUGAGGAGAAGAGUUGGGCAACUGAUUUUCCGAAUCACAUCAAACUUGAACAUUUAGAGGAAGCAAAAGUCGUAACAAGGUC
rnacentral:rRNA from 1 species